rnacentral:lncRNA from 1 species
GGGGAAGGGAAGUGAGGGGUAGAGGAAGGUGGGUCCCUGGCUAGGGCUCCACCCCCAUGAAUCUAGGGGUGCUCAAUGUCAUCACAAGGGUCCUUAAGAGGGAAAGAGGAAGCCAUGAGGGUCAGAGUCAAAGGAAGACUUGAAGAUACUACACUGAGGACUUUAAAGAUGAAGGAAGGGGCGAAAACCAAGAAUGUGGGAAGCCUCUAGAAGCUAGAGAAGGCAAGGAAACAGAUUUUCCACUAGAGCCUCCAGAAGGAACACAGCCCUGCUGACCCACUGUAAUGUCUGACCUCUAGAUGUGUAAGGGUAGUAAGACUGAAAGUCUCAGAAAGGCACUGUUACAUUCUUAUUCCACAACCAUGCAACUCAAAACUGGGGUCCUCAGCAAUGAGCGAGGGGCGAGAGAAGGCACUGUAUAAACAUGGCACAUCCUCCUGGAAAGUCAACUUUACUCAAAGGCUGCAGGCCGUAUUAUGCUAAAUCAAGGAUACGGGGAGAUAAUUAACAUAGCAACUCUGGCAAGUUUAAUAGAACCGCUGCAUUUAUUGAAGUCAUAAGCUCGUAGUCUAUCUUUAGACUCCUGAUGUAAUUUCUGAAUCACCAACCAUUUCUGAGACCACAAGAUAUUUAAAAAUAAGAUAAGAAAUAUUGACUGAGACACCCUGAAGCCUGCAAGGGAAACGAAGAUACCACGGCAGAGGUUUACAGUGGAAUUUCUCUCCGUAGUUCGUGCACAUUGAAAAUGACAUGAUCUAUCCCAAGGAAUAACUUAAGACCUGAUCCACUUAAACAGCUCCAAGUGAUUUAUCAUAAAUGUGCUUAUUUGGAAGGUUUAGCAGUAACUGCUUAUGGGAGGUGGUGGGGUUAACUACCAAAAUUGUACAUAACUUGGAUCCUGUGUAUGGCAAUUAAUCAAGAAAUUAUAUUCUUUGACUUUCUAACAACCCACACAGAGUGCUACAUCUGUGGCAUGUUUAAAGAGAGAGAGAGAGAGAGGGAUGAAAUAUUUCUUCUAAUAAAAUGCUAAUGGCUUUGUUUUGGAGAAAAAA